UUGGAGGGCAAGUCUGGUGCCAGCAGCCGCGGUAAUUCCAGCUCCAAUAGCGUAUAUUUAAGUUGUUGCAGUUAAAAAGCUCGUAGUUGAAUUUCGGGAUCAAUUUGUUGGUCGUGCCUCGGUACGUACUGGCAUUAUUGGUUUCUACCUUCUGAAGAACCUUGAUGUCAUUAAUUUGGUGUCUUGGGGAAUCAGGACUGUUACUUUGAAAAAAUUAGAGUGUUUAAAGCAGGCAUACGCUUGAAUACAUUAGCAUGGAAUAAUGAAAUAGGACGUUUGAUUCUAUUUUGUUGGUUUCUAGGAUCGACGUAAUGAUUAAUAGGGAUAGUUGGGGGCAUUAGUAUUCAAUUGUCAGAGGUGAAAUUCUUGGAUUUAUUGAAGACUAACUACUGCGAAAGCAUUUGCCAAGGAUGUUUUCAUUAAUCAAGAACGAAAGUUAGGGGAUCGAAGACGAUCAGAUACCGUCGUAGUCUUAACCAUAAACUAUGCCGACUAGGGAUCGGAUGAUGUUAAUUUUUUAAUGACUCAUUCGGCGCCUUACGGGAAACCAAAGUGUUUGGGUUC
rnacentral:rRNA from 1 species